rnacentral:rRNA from 1 species
UUGGAGGGCAAGUCUGGUGUCAGCAGCCGCGGUAAUUCCAGCUCCAAUAGCGUAUAUUAAAGUUGUUGCAGUUAAAAAGCUCGUAGUUGAACUUCGGGGUUCACUCAUUGGUCAGGCUUAGGUGUCUGCACUGGUGAGAUGGAUCUCUACCUUCUGAGGAACUUUCAUGCCAUUUGUUUGGUGUGAUGGGAAAUCAGGACUGUUACUUUGAAAAAAUUAGAGUGUUUAAAGCAGACUAUCGUCUGAAUACAUUAGCAUGGAAUAAUGAAAUAGGACGGACUGAUUCUAUUUCGUUGGUUUCUAGGAUCACCGUAAUGAUUAAUAGGGAUAGUUGGGGGCAUUAGUAUUCAAUUGUCAGAGGUGAAAUUCUUGGAUUUAUUGAAGACUAACUACUGCGAAAGCAUUUGCCAAGGAUGUUUUCAUUAAUCAAGAACGAAAGUUAGGGGAUCGAAGACGAUCAGAUACCGUCGUAGUCUUAACCAUAAACUAUGCCGACUAGGGAUCGGACGAAGUUAAUUUUAUAAUGACUCGUUCGGCGCCUUACGGGAAAC